rnacentral:rRNA from 1 species
CCUACGGGAGGCAGCAGUGAGGAAUAUUGGUCAAUGGGCGGAAGCCUGAACCAGCCAAGUAGCGUGCAGGAUGACGGCCCUACGGGUUGUAAACUGCUUUUAUACGGGAAUAACGCGCCUUACGUGUAGGGCUUUGCAUGUACCGUAUGAAUAAGGACCGGCUAAUUCCGUGCCAGCCGCCGCGGUAAUACGGAAGGUCCGGGCGUUAUCCGGAUUAAUUGGGGUAAAAGGGUGCGCAGGCGGCGGGUUAAGUCAGCGGUAAAAUUUCGGGGCUCAACCCCGACAAGCCGUUGAAACUGGCUUGCUAGAGUGGGCGAGAAGUAUGCGGAAUGCGUGGUGUAGCGGUGAAAUGCAUAGAUAUGACGAAGAACCCCGAUUGCGAAGGCAGCUUGCUGCAGCGGAACUGACGCUGAUGCUCGAAAGCGCGGGUAUCGAACAGGAUUAGAUACCCCGGUAGUC